rnacentral:lncRNA from 1 species
UUGGUAAGCCCUUGCCCAACAAGUAAUAUGAUAUCAUGAGCAUUGUGUGUGCUUCCUGUUCCUUUUUCCCUUUCAAAAUGAAAUGCUUGGUCUAACUGGUUACAGAUUCAACCUAAUGAAACGACAAUGCCAUAGCUGACAUCACAUUUAAAAUUCUUUCUUCUAUUUAAAUUCAAUUUUUCAAAACCAUUGAGCAUUUUUAGCCAUAAUAGUAAGUGUAACUGAAUUGUUAAAGAAUCAGCUUCACAGGAAAUCUAUACCCUCUUGAAAGUUUAUGGCAAGUAUGAUGUACCUAGGGGUGGGUAUGGGUUGGUUUGGGUUGGAUUUUAAGUUAACCCAAACCAAAUCAUAAAAAUUUGGAUCCAACUCAAACCAACCCAAAUAUUUUUAACUCAAUCCAAACCAAACCAUUUGGGUUUGGUUUGAGUUUGGUUUGAAUUUUAUUAUCAAAAUAAUUUUUAUUUUAAUAAAAUUUAAUUAUAUCAAAAUUAUAAUAAUUAUUAAUUGUUAUUAAUUAUUAAAUUGAUAUUAAAAUAUCAAAAAAUAUAGUGGAUAAAAAUUAUAAAUUUUACAUAACUUAUCCUUAAUUAAAGAUACUAGAAAUCAAAAUAAAGUUUAAUCACAAAAAUUAUUAUUUCUCAAUAAAUAAGAACGUGUAAUUUAAUAAUAAACUUUCACAAACAUGACAUUAACAAUCUAAUAAUAAAUUUUGCCACUUGUUAUUUAUUUAAUUAUGCAAUAUUUGUUUUUAUUUAUCGUUUUUGUAGUUUUGCAUUAUGUUGUCUACUUAUAUGUUUAAUUUUAUUUACAUUCUAAUAUUAUAUAGUGUGUAUGCUUUAUGUUCUAAUUUCAUUAUAUGGUAAGCAAAGUUUUGUACAGGGCUUAAUAUGGGCAUUACAUUCAAUUAUUGACCAAAAAUUAGCCGCCAUCUAACAUAUCGGACUCAGUCCAAGCCGAGUUAUUAUUGAUCACUAGUAGAGUCUCCUGCUCUUUCUAUGAUGAUCCUUUCAUGUGGGAGGAAUUAUUUUUGUAAAUAAGAAAAAAAAUUUAUGUUAUUUACAACAAUAUUUAUUUAAUUUAAAUUUAUUUUUACAUGUUAUUUUCAUUUUCUAACUGUUGACAAUUGAUCACGACGUAAAAAAUUUAAUGGUGGUCUUUCACUUAUUUGUGUUCAUUUAUUUUGUUUUCAUUUAUUUCAUUUGAAAAAUUUGAGUGUUGGGGUUUUGUCCAUGACCCAUGGGUAAAUCAUACCCAACCCAUAAUAAAAUAGUUUUCUAUAUAAAACUCACAUCUAACCCAUUUUCAUGAUUUAUCCAACCCAAACUAUUUAAUUUAGUUUGGGUUUAGGUAAACCCAUGAGUUGUGGGUUUAUGCCCACCCCUAGAUGUACCCAUCCCAACAUCCCACAAGUUGAUAGCAAAGAUGCUUUUUUCUUUUUCUUGAGAUGGGAUUCUUUUUAUUGUUUAUUGAUAUCGGUUUCUUUGGAGUAUCAAGUACCAAGAUAUUGAGAUUUUUAAUGUAGCAAUUAAUCAUAUGGUUUAUUACUUAUAUAACCUGUUAUUUCUUUUUCGGACUCAUUUCAUGUCUAUCUGGGAUUCAGG